CUUGGUCAUUUAGAGGAAGUAAAAGUCGUAACAAGGUCUCCGUAGGUGAACCUGCGGAGGGAUCAUUACCGAGUUCAUGCCCACACGGGUAGAUCUCCCACCCUAUGUUAUCAUUACCUUUGUUGCUUUGGCGGGCCGCCAGGCUUCGGUCAGGCUACCGGCUCCGGCUGGUACGCGCCCGCCAGAGGACCCCAAACUCUGAAUGUUAGUGUCGUCUGAGUACUAUCUAAUAGUUAAAACUUUCAACAACGGAUCUCUUGGUUCUGGCAUCGAUGAAGAACGCAGCGAAAUGCGAUAAGUAAUGUGAAUUGCAGAAUUCAGUGAAUCAUCGAAUCUUUGAACGCACAUUGCGCCCCUUGGCAUUCCGAGGGGCAUGCCUGUUCGAGCGUCAUUACAACCCUCAAGCACUGCUUGGCAUUGGGCUCCGCUGCUAACCCAGCGGGCCUUAAAAUCAGUGGCGGCGCCCUCAGGCUCUGAGCGUAGUAAAUCUCCUCGCUAUAGAGUCCUGGUGGUGGUAGUCAUCAACCCCCAACUUUUCUAAGUUUGACCUCGGAUCAGGUAGGGAUACCCGCUGAACUUAAGCAUAUCAAUAAGCGGAGG
rnacentral:rRNA from 1 species